rnacentral:rRNA from 1 species
GUGCCAGCAGCCGCGGUAAUACGAAGGGUGCAAACGUUGCUCGGAAUCAUUGGGCGUAAAGCGCACGUAGGCGGCUUCGCAAGUCGGAUGUGAAAUCCCUCGGCUCAACCAAGGACGUGCAUCCGAAACUGCGGGGCUUGAGUACUGAAGAGGAUCGCGGAAUUCCCGGUGUAGAGGUGAAAUUCGUAGAUAUCGGGAGGAACACCAGUGGCGAAGGCGGCGAUCUGGGCAGAUACUGACGCUGAGGUGCGAAAGCGUGGGGAGCAAACAGGAUUAGAAACCCUCGUAGUCC